GUCUGGCUGGCUCAGUCGGUAGGGCUUGCGACUCUCAAUCUCAGGGUCGUGAGUUCAAUCCUCAUGCUGGGCA
rfam:Felis catus isolate Cinnamon breed Abyssinian chromosome B3, whole genome shotgun sequence.